rnacentral:rRNA from 1 species
GCCCUACGGGACGCAGCAGUGGGGAAUAUUGCACAAUGGGGGGAACCCUGAUGCAGCGACGCCGCGUGAGUGAAGAAGUAUUUCGGUAUGUAAAUCUCUAUCAGCAGGGAAGAAGAUGACGGUACCUGACUAAGAAGCCCCGGCUAACUACGUGCCAGCAGCCGCGGUAAUACGUAGGGGGCAAGCGUUAUCCGGAUUUACUGGGUGUAAAGGGAGCGUAGACGGCAGUGCAAGUCUGGAGGGAAAGGCGGGGGCUCAACCC